rnacentral:rRNA from 1 species
UACGGAGGAUGCGAGCGUUAUCCGGAUUUAUUGGGUUUAAAGGGUGCGUAGGCGGGUUUUUAAGUCAGUGGUGAAAGUUUGCAGCUCAACUGUAAAAUUGCCAUUGAAACUGAAGACCUUGAGUGCAAAUGAGGUAGGCGGAAUGUGUUGUGUAGCGGUGAAAUGCAUAGAUAUAACACAGAACUCCGAUUGCGAAGGCAGCUUACUGGGAUGCAACUGACGCUGAUGCACGAAAGCGUGGGUAUCAAACAGG